rnacentral:rRNA from 1 species
AGAAUCAACGCUGGCGGCGUGCCUAACACAUGCAAGUCGAACGCGAAAGUUCCUUCGGGGAUGAGUAGAGUGGCGUCCGGGUGAGUAACGCGUGGGUAAUCUGCCUUUGGGUGGGGAAUAACUCAGGGAAACUUGAGCUAAUACCGCAUAAUGCAGCGGCUCGACAUCGAGACAGUUGUUAAAGCUCUUCGCAAGAAGGGCGCCUAAAGAGGAGCCUGCGUCUGAUUAGCUAGUUGGUGAGGUAAUGGCUCACCAAGGCUACGAUCAGUAGCUGGUCUGAGAGGACGGCCAGCCACAAUGGCACUGAAACGACCGG